rnacentral:lncRNA from 1 species
UAGGAUGUUACACAAGAUCAAUUCUAAGAUUAAACGAAGAAAAUCUCGGUUUAUCAGCUCAUAGAGAAGCUAGGCUUUGUAGGCAACGGGAUUCAGCAUGUCAUGGUAUGAUGCGGUUUCUAUUGUACGAUAUGGUUUCGGCUACUUCAUUUUUGUAAAGCGAUGUCAAAUGAGAAAAGUCGAUAAAAAAUGGCUAGAUUGAUAGUUAGCUUUAAAACAACGGUUAAAAGAUCAAUUGUCCAAGAUCUACAUAUGGCCUAGUGUAAGUGAAGGCAGGUUGCCUAAUGGUUGCAGUGAUCUGAGUAACACCCAAGGUCCUGGAUUUAAAUUUCCAUAUG